UACGGAGGGUGCAAGCGUUAUCCGGAUUCACUGGGUUUAAAGGGUGCGUAGGUGGGCAGGUAAGUCAGUGGUGAAAUCUCCGGGCUUAACCCGGAAACUGCCGUUGAUACUAUCUGUCUUGAAUAUAGAGGAGGUGAGCGGAAUAUGUCAUGUAGCGGUGAAAUGCUUAGAUAUGACAUAGAACAUCGAUUGCGAAGGCAGCUCGCUACACUAUUAUUGACACUGAGGCACGAAAGCGUGGGGAGCGAACAGG
rnacentral:rRNA from 1 species